rnacentral:rRNA from 1 species
UACGUAGGUGGCAAGCGUUGUCCGGAAUUAUUGGGCGUAAAGCGCGCGCAGGCGGCCUCCUAAGUCCGAUGUGAAAGCCCACGGCUCAACCGUGGAGGGUCAUUGGAAACUGGGGGACUUGAGUGCAGGAGAGAAGAGUGGAAUUCCACGUGUAGCGGUGAAAUGCGUAGAGAUGCGGAGGAACACCGAUGGCGAAGGCAGCCCCCUGGGCCAAUACUGACGCUCAGGCACGAAAGCGUGGGGAGCAAACAGG